UCUUCGCUCGUAUAUCGGUUAGUAUACACGCCUGUCAUAUGUCAUUAAAAAGUCCAUCACUGUGCGCGUGUGAGCUGGGUUCGACUCCCAGGCGGAGAG